UGGACUCAAUAUCCCAAACUCCGAAUAAAUGGUGACUUCCUUCCCACCAUGAUUUUUCAUGUUGGUGUUACUUUCGGAGCCGCUUGAAAGUUGAACAGAAUAAACCAUCAGCUAUUGGUCAUGCUCUUAGCAAUUUAUGGAAUGGUUCAAAAAGCUUCAGAAAUGCAGGAGUGGCAAUUCAUAUCUGGAUCCACCUCCCCACCAGCUGCACCCUCUAUUAAUCUCCAGAAGUAACAAGAAUCUGGAAAUCUUCUCAGCGAAACCACAUUCUUGCAAUCAAUCACUAAACGACAACCCUACCAAAGGUUCCCAACAUCAGCAGCGAAACCUCUAAAACAACGAAGAACCACCGUGAUACAACACACAAAUCUAAUAAGAGCUUGUAAACAUGAGCAUAGCCACUACCACUCCACAAUUCCUAAACCCCAGUCCCCACAUUUGUGAAACUGAACAAUGAGCCCCACAAUACAAAACUUUGCGGAACGAGAAUCGUCACGGUCAUGCAAACCAUCAAACAAUUGCCAAAAAAAAAAAGAAUUGAAGUCUACGGAGGGUUGCCUCGUGAAUCAGCAAAGGAAGCUCACAGCGUAUAGAGAAAUGCGCAACAGCAAUCGGGGGGUGUAAUAACAGCGUCAACGUUCUGUGAGAAUGCUUCAUGAAGUCUCACUCUCGCAAUCUCACUCACUCCCUUUCCUUCACUUCUUCUUCGUCUUCUGAACGAUUCCAUAGCCACUCAAUUCGAUUCUAAAACCCUAAACCCCAAAUUCAAUACCUUUUCAACAUCGACAAUUCUGGUCGUAGUGAACAACCUCUCUCACAAACUCUCGAUUGAAAGCUUGAUUGAAGAGGAAGAGUCGAGCAACCCUGGGCAAAAAGCAUUGCCUGCGGCGAU
rnacentral:lncRNA from 1 species